AACGGGGUUGUCAAUCUUGAAAAGGGCCUUUUUGAUAAAUCUUCUUCUGUCAAUUUACGAUAAUCAAUACAUUUUUUGGGGGAUUUCCAAAUCCAAAGUAGUCCUUGUCCUUGAAGCUUUCUUUGAACCAACCUUAGUGUAAUCUGAUUGUCCACCCACUCAUUCUUUUUCUUGUUUGUCCAUAGGCAUCCGAACACAUUGCAACUGCAUAUUCAGAGCUCAGGAAUGGGACUUCAAACGCAAAGACUGGAGGAACUCUUCCAAUUACAGCAAGAACCUUAGAAACCAUAAUACGUCUCUCAACUGCUCAUGCUAAAUUGAAGGUUUCAAAAUCUGAUGUUGAAGCUGCCUUAAAAGUUCUAAAUUUCGCAAUAUAUCACAAAGAAUUGACCGAGAUGGAGGAAUGUGAAAAAGAAAGGCAGAGGGAAUUGGAUGGAAAUCAAAGAGCAGAGCCGCACCACAGAGGAAAUGACAGACGAGACUGUUAGCAUGAUUCUGGCAGUCAAUCAACAUGAUUCCAAUAAUCAUGCAACAU